AACGAACGCUGGCGGCAGGCUUAACACAUGCAAGUCGAACGCCCCCGCAAGGGGGAGUGGCAGACGGGUGAGUAACACGUGGGAACAUACCCUUCGGUUCGGAACAACGUCUGGAAACGGACGCUAAUACCGGAUACGGCCUUUUGGGCGAAAGAUUGAUCGCCGAAGGAUUGGCCCGCGUUCGAUUAGCUGGAUGGCGGGGUAACGGCCCACCAUGGCGACGAUCGAUAGCUGGUCUGAGAGGAUGGCCAGCCACAUUGGGACUGAGACACGGCCCAAACUCCUACGGGAGGCAGCAGUGGGGAAUAUUGGACAAUGGGCGCAAGCCUGAUCCAGCCAUGCCGCGUGAGUGAUGACGGCCUUAGGGUUGUAAAGCUCUUUCGCACGCGACGAUAAUGACGGUAGCGUGAGAAGAAGCCCCGGCUAACUUCGUGCCAGCAGCCGCGGUAAUACGAAGGGGGCUAGCGUUGUUCGGAAUCACUGGGCGUAAAGGGUGCGUAGGCGGGCAUUUAAGUCAGGGGUGAAAUCCCGAGGCUCAACCUCGGAACUGCCCUUGAUACUGGGUGUCUUGAGUCCGGAAGAGGUGAGUGGA
rnacentral:rRNA from 1 species